GGGUGACUAGUCUAGUGGUCAGGACGCUUCGUUGUGGAUGAUCUUCACUUUCAGUGAAUCAACACAUGCGAAUCCGAAGAAACCCCGGUUCGAUUCCGGGGUCGCCCA